rnacentral:rRNA from 1 species
CGGAAACGAUGGGAGCUUGCUCCCAGGCGUCGAGUGGCGGACGGGUGAGUAAUACUUAGGAAUCUGCCCAUUAGUGGGGGACAACUCGAGGAAACUCGAGCUAAUACCGCAUACGCCCUACGGGGGAAAGCGGAGGACCUUUCGGGGCUUCGCGCUAAUGGAUGAGCCUAAGUCGGAUUAGCUUGUUGGUGAGGUAAAGGCUCACCAAGGCGACGAUCCGUAGCUGGUCUGAGAGGACGAUCAGCCACACUGGGACUGAGACACGGCCCAGACUCCUACGGGAGGCAGCAGUGGGGAAUAUUGGACAAUGGGCGCAAGCCUGAUCCAGCAAUGCCGCGUGUGUGAAGAAGGCCUGCGGGUUGUAAAGCACUUUCAGUAGAGAAGAAAAGCCUAUGGUUAAUACCCGUGGGUCUUGACGUUACCUACAGAAGAAGCUCCGGCUAACUCCGUGCCAGCAGCCGCGGUAAUACGGAGGGAGCGAGCGUUAAUCGGAAUUACUGGGCGUAAAGCGCGCGUAGGCGGCUUUGUAAGUCGGAUGUGAAAGCCCUGGGCUUAACCUGGGAAUGGCAUUCGAAACUGCAGAGCUAGAGUAUGGUAGAGGGAAGUGGAAUUUCCGGUGUAGCGGUGAAAUGCGUAGAUAUCGGAAGGAACACCAGUGGCGAAGGCGACUUCCUGGGCCAAUACUGACGCUGAGGUGCGAAAGCGUGGGGGAGCAAACAGGAUUAGAUACCCUGGUAGUCCACGCCGUAAACGAUGAGAACUAGAUGUCGGGGGAAUCUGUCCUUUCGGUGUCGCAGCUAACGCGUUAAG